GCUGGUUGCUGUGGAGUGUGCUUGUAAUCCCAGCUACUUGGGAGGCUGAGGUGGGAGGAUCACUUGAGCCCAGGAGUUUGGGGCUGUGGUGAGCCAUGAUCAUGCCAUUGUAUUCCUACCUGGGCGACAGAGUGAGACCCUGUCUCUA
ensembl:misc_RNA Metazoa_SRP Metazoan signal recognition particle RNA